UGUCUUCGGGGCAGGGUGCAAUUCCCUACCGGCGGUGAGGCGGUUUUCCGUCAAGCCCGCGAGCGCAAGCUGAUCCGGUGAGACUCCGGAGCCGACGGUUACAGUCCGGAUGAAAGAAGAU
rnacentral:ncRNA from 2 species